CACUGAGUAUAUUUCAAAAGCUGUGCAGGCUUGUAAUAUCUACACAAGGGAGACCAAAAGUUUAAAACAGUCAUUAUAGUGCCAGGCUGGAGCUUCCUUUCCUGAAGGGCACACAGGAUGUCCAGCAAAGGCCCCCUCAGGUAACCGAAGAAACAUUGCUCUGCAGUUCCUCAUGAUUACAUGUCUUUUGUCUUGUAUUACUGUGGUUAUGAUUAUUAUUUCUACAGUGCCCAGGAGGCCUAAGCAAAGAUGAAAAUCCUAUUCUGUACUUACAAACAGAUAUUUGGAAACACAACUCCAGUUCCAGAGAACUUGUUGAAAAGAGAUUGUGUUUGAAAGAUGAGCAAGGUUGUUUUCAAUACUGGCGGAGCUGGCAGGUUGCAUGGAGCUUGCCUUGAAUUGGGAUCACACAUCUGUUCUGCAAGAAUUUGCAAGAUAGCUUCCGCAAAACACCAACAUGUUUGAUUUCAGAAGUGCUGUGGCUUGGGGCUCCACUAAACCUGUUUGGUGCAUAAUGAAAAAGGAUAAACACAGACUUCACACUAACGCAUUUAAGCUGUCUUCCUCAUAACCCUGGAUAAUCAAGGGUGGGUGUAGACUGAAGCCCGAUAGAGAUGCUGUGAAGUCUGUGGCUGUGACCUUUCCACCUCA